GCGAGAGUAGCAGAGCGGUCAAAUGCGCAAGCUUCAGGAGCUUGUCCCUCAGCGGGUUCGCAGGUUCAAAUCCUGCCUCUCGCA
rnacentral:tRNA from 1 species